rnacentral:rRNA from 1 species
UACGUAGGGGGCAAGCGUUGUCCGGAAUUAUUGGGCGUAAAGAGCUCGUAGGCGGUUUGUCGCGUCUGCUGUGAAAACCUCAGGCUCAACCUGGGGCUUGCAGUGGGUACGGGCAGACUAGAGUGCGGUAGGGGUGACUGGAAUUCCUGGUGUAGCGGUGGAAUGCGCAGAUAUCAGGAGGAACACCGAUGGCGAAGGCAGGUCACUGGGCCGCAACUGACGCUGAGGAGCGAAAGCAUGGGGAGCGAACAGG